UACGUAGGGUGCAAGCGUUAAUCGGAAUUACUGGGCGUAAAGCGUGCGCAGGCGGUUAUUUAAGACCGUUGUGAAAUCCCCGGGCUCAACCUGGGAACUGCAUCUGUGACUGCAUAGCUAGAGUACGGUAGAGGGAUGCGGAAUUCCAGGUGUAGCGGUGAAAUGCGUAGAUAUCUGGAGGAACACCGGGGGCGAAGGCGGCAUCCUGGACCACGACUGACGCUGAGUGAGCGAAAGCCAGGGGAGCAAACGGG
rnacentral:rRNA from 1 species